UAAUAAAAAAUAAAAAUGAAUAUGGAAAAGAACAAUUCGAUUAAAAGUUCCAUUUGUUUACACUCUUAAUUCGAUCCGUUGCUGUGCCAUCGGUGCCGCCGCCCUCCGCCUCAGCCGCCACUCGUCAGUUCUAGAAUCGCCCCAAAACACUUCUCCAGGUUCUUCUUUCCUCCCCCUUUCACGAUCUCUAGCCAAUUUUCUUUGAAACUUGAUGGAUUUGCAUAGAUCUAGGUUCAAAGAUCACGAUUUCUUUCUCCAAAAUCAUCUCUUUUGCUACUCCGACGGAUCUAAAAUUCAAGUAUGUUCUUCUUCCUUGCUUGAUCUUUCCCUUCACAAACUUUAAAGCUCCAAAACAACCUAGAUCAACCUCAAUUGGGAAUCUAAGAAAGAGUCCCUUUCUUCUUCUUUUUUUUUAAUUACUUGUCUGGCUUUGGUUUUGGUGCAAGUGGAGAUUGAAAAUGGAGAUAGCUCUGUGGUGAGGAUUGGUGUCUCAGUGCCCAGCGCAUAGGUUAGUGACUAGCUUCUUUUUUGGCUUUCUCUAUUUGCAAGUGUAGGUUGGCUAUGAUGGUUAAUAGUUGUGACAGAUUUGGUAGGGGAAUUUGCAAUGAAUCAAUUUUUUUUUUAGAAAUGUGUACGUCUUUCCCGGAUUCGUUGCUAUAUCUGAGCUUUGGAAAGGAUUGGAUGAAAAGAAUCUCUAAAGUGGCUUUAAGAAUGGGGAAAGAUUGAAUAAUAUUGUUAGGCUAAUUAAUGAUAGCAGUAGCCUGUUAAGGUGAGGUGAUAAUGAAGGCUAGAUCCUACCUUGUGUAUGAGCUGAGUUUUAUUGUUGAAAGUUGUUUGUGAUACUCUCUAUACUCUGGUGUUUGCUUUUAGUAUUACCUAAAGCUGUUGAUGACUAAUGGUAAUUAUGGGUUAUUGGUAGCAGAUGGUGGAGACUAUGUCAGCUCUCCCAUUUGAUUGUGGAAAUUGUUGUUCAAGUAGAAAAGGAAUAUCAAUUAAACUAGAGUUUAAGAUUAAAACAAAGUCUUGGUUCAAAAGGAUUUAUUUUGUAUUCGAAAAUUUUAUCCCGAGAUUGAAUUUAAAACUUUAUCUGCAAGAAGUAACUCCAUGAAAUUUUUUUUUUUUUGAAUUAUUUUAUUUUAUUUUUAAAUAAGUGAAAAAUAAAUAAAUAAAAACCAAAUUAAUAAUAGGUUUAUAACGCUGAUCAAGGCCAUGGCUUAGUUACACAAUUACAGCCCAAAAGAAAUUUAAAAGCCUAAAUUUUGAAAAAUGAAUUUCAAAGCUAAGAAACUUCAAUAAAUGCGGAUAAAAUAGGAUGUUUAUACUAAUUAAAAUAUUUUUAGCAUAAUUUUUUCGUAUGUGGUGUUGUUUGUAUGAAAUUAAAAAAAAUUUUUUCAUUUAUUGUAAGAAAAGGGAAUGCAUCAGAAUUUCUCACCAAUGAUAAAUUAAAGACCUAAUAUAAAUUAUGGAUCCGAUUGGUAGAUAUCAAGUUUCAUUAUAUAAUUAAAGGAAAUUAUAUUUGUUUUAUUUCUCUCCAUGAAAAAUAGAAUAAUUAUAGUUUUAAAAAAGAAAAGAAUAUUUUUGAGCAAGUAACAUGGGAAUAAACUCAGUUAGGAAAGUUCAUAAACUCUGGCUAUAUAAGAUAAUAAAUAUAUAAAGAAGUUCCAUUUCUUUUUACCAAUUAAACAAUCAAAUUUAUGAAAUGAAUUUAAUUAAAAACAUUAAGCCUUCAAGGUCUUAAAUACCUAUAUACUUUCUUAAAGUAAGAUAGAGAUUAAAAAGUUAGUGUGAAAAAUUUGUCCAUAAACCAUAUUUUUUAUUUAGGAAUUUUUGUACUAUAAAUUUAUGAACUUUAAACCCCAACCAAAGGAUUUAAC
rnacentral:lncRNA from 1 species